GAUGAACGCUAGCGGCAGGCUUAACACAUGCAAGUCGAGGGGUAGAAGUUGCUUGCAACUUUGAGACCGGCGCACGGGUGCGUAACGCGUAUGCAAUCUACCUUAUACAGAGGGAUAUCCCAGAGAACUUUGGAUUAAUACCUCAUAGUAUAAUUGAAUGGCAUCAUUUAAUUAUUAACGUUCUAACGGUAUAAGAUGAGCAUGCGUCCUAUUAGCUAGAUGGUAAGGUAACGGAUUACCAUGGCAACGAUAGGUAGGGGUACUGAGAGGGAGAUCCCCCACACUGGUACUGAGACACGGACCAGACUCCUACGGGAGGCAGCAGUGAUGAAUAUUGGACAAUGGGCGCAAGCCUGAUCCAGCCAUGCCGCGUGCAGGAAGAAGCAUCUAUGGUGUGUAAACUGCUUUUGUACGGGAAGAAACACCCCUUCGUGAAGGGACUUGACGGUACCGUAAGAAUAAGGAUCGGCUAACUCCGUGCCAGCCGCCGCGGUAAAAC
rnacentral:rRNA from 1 species